UUGCUUUGGCAGCAUAUAUACUAAAACAGGAACAAUACAGAGAAGAUUAGAAUGAUACCUGCAUGAGGAUGACAUGCAAAUACAUGAAGAAACAAACAAAGAU